GACGAACGCUGGCGGCGUGCUUAACACAUGCAAGUCGAACGGAAAGGCCCUGCUUUUGUGGGGCGCUCGAGUGGCGAACGGGUGAGUAACACGUGAGUAACCUGCCCUUGACUUUGGGAUAACUUCAGGAAACUGGGGCUAAUACCGGAUAGGAGCUCCUGCUGCAUGGUGGGGGUUGGAAAGUUUCGGCGGUUGGGGAUGGACUCGCGGCUUAUCAGUGUGUUGGUGGGGUAGUGGCUUAACAAGGCUUUGACGGGUCGCCGGCCUGAGAGGGUGACCGGCCACAUUGGGACUGAGAUAGGGCCCAGACUCCUACGGGAGGCAGAAGUGGAAAAUAGUGCACGAUGGGCGGAAGCCUGAUGCAGCAACGUCGCGUGCGGGAUGACUGCCGUCGGGUUGUAACCCGCUUUCGCCUGUGACGAAGAGUGAGUGACGGUAAUGGGUAAAGAAGCACCGGCUAACUACGUG
rnacentral:rRNA from 1 species